CCUACGGGGCGCAGCAGUCGAGAAUCAUUCACAAUGGGGGAAACUCUGAUGGUGCGACGCCGCGUGGGGGAAUGAAGGUCUUCGGAUUGUAAACCCCUGUCAUGUGGGAGCAAAUUAAAAAGAUAGUACCACAAGAGGAAGAGACGGCUAACUCGGGGCCAGCAGCCGCGGUAAUACAGAGGUCUCAAGCGUUGUUCGGAAUCACUGGGCGUAAAGCGUGCGUAGGCUGUUUCGUAAGUGGGGUGUGAAAGGCGAGGGCUCAACCCGCGGACGGCACAUGAUACUGCGAGACUAGAGUAAUGGAGGGGGAACCGGAAUUCUCGGUGUAGCAGUGAAAUGCGUAGAUAUCGAGAGGAACACUCGUGGCGAAGGCGGGUUCCUGGACAUUAACUGACGCUGAGGCACGAAGGCCAGGGGAGCGAAAGGGAUUAGAUACCCUAGUAGUC
rnacentral:rRNA from 1 species